GUGCUUGCUUUAGCAACACAUAUACUAAAAUAUUGGAACAAUACAGAGAAGAUCUUGCACAAGGAUGACACGCAAAUUCAUGAAGCAUUCCAUGUUUUA
rnacentral:snRNA from 1 species